AACCAGAACCAGAAGUAGAGGAAUAAGCAGACAAGGGAGGAGAAGGAGAAGAAGAAGAUGAUGAAUAAACACCAGGAGAAUAUGCAGAAGAAGAAGCAGAACCAAGUCCAAUACUACCAUAACUAGAUGUUAUUGCACUUCCUAAACCAGCCCCAUAUCCCCAAUCACCAGCUCUUUGGCCUGAUACCACAUGAGAAAGAGCUGAAACCAUUGUAGUCAUCUCCCUUGUACUACUAUCAUAUCCAGGAAACACAGUUGGCGACUGUGUGUCGACUUGUCCUGGCUGAUUUAACACCGAUUGUGGGUAUAUCUCAUCAUGAUCAUCAUCGCCGCUAUCUGUAGUAGCAGGGCACCU
rnacentral:misc_RNA from 1 species